CACUCGGCUGUUAACCGAGUUGUCGUUGGUUCAAGUCCAACAAGGGGAGCCA
rnacentral:tRNA from 1 species